rnacentral:rRNA from 1 species
UACAGAGGGUGCGAGCGUUAAUCGGAAUUACUGGGCGUAAAGCGUGCGUAGACGGUUAUUUAAGUCGGAUGUGAAAGCCCCGGGCUCAACCUGGGAAUUGCAUUCGAGACUGAAUAGCUAGGGUACGGUAGAGGGAAGUGGAAUUUCCGGUGUAGCGGUGAAAUGCGUAGAUAUCGGAAGGAACAUCAGUGGCGAAAGCGGCUUCCUGGACCAGCACCGACGUUCAGGCACGAAAGCGUGGGGAGCAAACAGG